UAUUGAUUACCCAUCGUUUCUGACACUCUUGAAGCAGCUGAUUCCUCCAUUGUCUACUCAGCUAGCUGAUCGACGGUCUACCAUUGUAAAACAGGCAUGCCAUCUACUUAAUGUGCUGUCCAAAUAACUCCUUGGUGACUUUGAGCCAUGUGCCGAACAAUUUAUCCCGAUGCUUUUUAAGCUUGUUGUCAUAACUGUGCUUGUCAUCGCUGAAUCUUCAGACACCUGCAUAAAAACUAU